GGGGCUUGUUAACAGUCUGAAUGGCCCACAGGAAGAAGGUGUUUGUGAGUGUGGUGGUGUGGGACCUGAUUGACCUGAGCAGAUGGUGGGUGGGCAUCAAGGGGUCACCUGUGAUGGCCCUGGUUUUCGUGAGACAGGAGGAGCUGGCAUGGCCUCCAGGGGUGGCAGAUGAAAGUUGUUUCUCAGUUAUGGCCCUUAUGUAGAGCACGCCCUCCAGACGAGCGUUACAAGGCCAGCAGCAGUUUCUCGUCCAGGGUUGUUCUUCCUCAGGACACAAAGAAAGUGCAGCCACUGUUGGGCCUUCUUCACCUGAACGCUGGUGUUGUGGGUCGAGGUGAGAUCAGUGGAAAUGUGGGUUUCCAGAAAGGGGGAGACAGAUUCCCCCCGUUCAACAUUUAUAAUCAAAGGGAGUGGACCUGUCUGUGCCUCCUGAAGUCCAUUAUGAGUUCUUUUGUUUUAAGGAUGUUCAGCUUCAGGUUAUUUUCUGAACCUCAGCAGGAAUUAUUCUCUACCUCCACCCUGUAUGCUGUCUCAUCUCCAUUAGAGAUGAGCCUAUUCACGGUGGUGUCAUCGGCAUACUUGAAGAUGAUGUUCAUUCAGUGGAUUGAUGCACAAUUAUGUGUGUACAUGGAGUAAAUUAGGUGGCUGAGAAUACAGCCCUGUGGAGACUUGAUGCUGAGUGACAGUUGGGCGAAGAGUUGGAGGCAGUCUGACUGACUGAGGUCUGUUUGUGAGGAAAUCUUUGAUUGAGGAGCAUUUGGCAAGGGGGACACGAAGGUGGAUCAGUUUGGUGGUAAAUUAUGUUUAACCAUUCUUUGUUCAAAGAUGAUACAACAGCAAUGUUAUUUUUUCAUACUUGUUAAAUAUGAACCAUAAAAGGAACAACACUGUGUGAGUGUUGAUAUCCCGAAGUCUCUGAAUGUUCAGCAACACUUCUUCAUUUUACGUGUGAAGGUCGGAAAAGCGGAUGGAGAUGGAUUCUGAAACGAGUAAAACUCAAGAUGAUAUUCUAGCUUUUACACAAAACUUCAACUCUGAGUCUUCUUCAGCUGAUGAUUUGUGGAGAUAUUAGGAAAAAACAUGACAUUUGCUGUUUGUAAAAUUAACACUGCACGAUGGAAACACUGGUCAGGUCAAAAAAGGAAUUCCCACCUAUAGAGGAAUGGAAGGAGAAAACAUCAGAGUUGAAUGCAAAUUUUCUUACUCUGGAACCAAGAAGUUCUUCUGUAAGGGAAAAUGUGAAAAAGAAAACAUCCUAAUAGCAACAACAAAGAACUCCGCUAAAAAUGGCAGAUACAGCAUUCAGUAUGUAGAAAAAGGUUUUCUGUCAUCUGAUAUUCUGUAUGUGAGCAUCGCACAGCUGAAAAAGUCUGACAUGGGACCAUACAUGUGUUUUUCGAGUAAAACCUGGCUUGGUGAUCUGAGUCAUGAGUUUUAUAUUUUUGUCACAGAAGGCUCAAGAACAAAAACAGAAACAGCAACAACAACAACAAUACCAACAACAGAGAGUUCAGUCUUCAGUUCAGAAUGUGCUGGAGUUUCAUCAGUGUCCCCUGAAACCUCAAAACAGCCCGAGAGAUCGCCUGCAAGUUCAGCUACUGCAGGUAUGCUUCCUUAUGUGGGACUGUUUCUGGCCAUUAUGAUCAUCCUCUUCUCGGCAGCUUUGCUGAUUUUCUGCAAGAACAAGAGGGCCAGUAAACACAAAGGACCUUUGGAAAAUGAAAAUGGUGACAUCACACAGGUGAACCAGCUCUAUGAAGAGAUCAGAGAAAUGGACACUUUGUCUCCCCUGGGUGUGUCCUCAGCUUACACGUACCCCAAAUACUCCCAGUCACAUGGAUUUGAAAACAUAGACCUCCACAGCCUCAGCACCCCUCCUCAGAACAAAGCUCAAGACAACUCAAGUACUCUUCAUUACUCUGAAGUCGAUUUUUCCCACAUUCCUGCCACCAACAGCGCUCCAUCUCGUAAUGCAACUGAUGUUGUUUACUCCACACCUGUGGUACAUACCAGCCCUUCCAACCACACCAAAGAUUCUUCAUCUCCUCUGUACUCAGCAGUUAAAAAACGGUAUUAAUGCUGCCGAUGGCACCUUCCCUCUCACAAAGAUCAACAGGUGAUCGUAAUUCAUAGAAAAUGAGGUUCUUUUCUGCUUAUUUAAGUGAACUGAAUGUUCAAACAAUUAGCCUCAGAUUAAUUUAUUUAAUUAUUUAGUUAUAUCUACUUUAACUUAACAGACAACUAAUUGCAUGCAUACUUUUUGGAAACUGGAGUAUUUUUCAUUAAGAAAUACAGGAAAACCCAACUGACUUGGAACAUCCGUGGCUGUAUGAGAGCAUGCAGUGGUCUCAGGUCAGUCAGCAGGUUGUUCUUGGAGGGACAUCCAUAAAUGGAGUUAGCAAAACGGCUUCUUUCACAUGUAGAAAUUUACAUCAAGCGGUUUCUUUCUUGCCCAAACCUAACAAAACUGAGACUGAAAAGUGAAUAAUGGCAUGAAAAUCUGCACAAAACUCAAAAACAUUCUGUCAGAAAACCCUAAAGACAAGUUCCACUAGUGACAGUUUCCGUUUUCUUUCUGUUGGCAAUGUAAACAAGCAAAGAAAACAAACAAAAAAAACCCCAAAAAACAAGCAAAAAACAAAAAGAUGGGUGAAUUGAUUUAAAAUAUUAUUUUAAUAAAGCUUUUGGGAUUGCACUCUUCUUGCCCGAUUAUCCAGUGUUUUCUAUCAUGCUUGGCUCCCAUAAUCUCUAUAAAACAUGGCGCAGUCUUAUCGUCCAGGCCUGAAAAGUGAAGCUGAUUUGGAAGGUUCAACAAAUCCAGCAAAGCCAAACAUGUCAGACUUUAAUGUGAAGAUGCCUAAAUCCACAGCAGAAAUAAAAUGCAACCUGCCAUAAAAAACAAAUAAAUGACCAAAACACCAAAUUGAAUGAUAGGCGCCUAGCUUUGCUCACAAACCUGCUUGUUUGUGUAAUUUUGUACUGACACAAACACUGAAAGUACUGUGUUAAUUGUUUUUAUAAUCUUAACAAUAUCUCAGUUCUGUGGGUUAUUUAAUUUGCACAAGGAUCUUUAUGUUCUUAUUUUAUUUUGCUUCAUUGUGCUCAACCUGAUUUUUAAAUCUUAAUUAAAAUAAACAUGAACAUCGACAGUUUUAACUGUAUGGUCUUCAUUGUUGGCAAAAUACUUUUAUUAAUAAAGGUAAAUGGACUGGUUCUUAUAUUGCAAUUUUCUACUCUAUUUGAAUGCUCAAAGUGCUUUAUACAACAUGCCUCAUUCACCCAUUCACAGACAUUCAUUUGUUUUUCUACAUCUAAAUGGUUUCCAUCCAACAUUUACACACAUUUAUACGUAUGCAUGUUUCUGCUAUUAAUUCACUGAAAUACAAACUAUCCUCUAGUGCAAAUGUAGUAGUACAGGUCCUGUUGUGCCUGAUGAUUUUCCCCUCUGCAGCUCUAUUGUAACACAUGCUGAUGUUUUUAUUGAUAUUGUAAACUUAUUUAUGGGAUAACAUCUGUGUCUGUGUUAAGUCAGAUGGAAGAGGACUGUGCAGUGUUGUACUGCAAGACCUCCCUGUUCUAUGUGGUGAUGACCCAGCUAUAAACCUUACCAGCAUCUACAACACUGGUAUUUUUCCCAGUGAGGAAGCACUACAUCAUAGUCGACUGAUCAAAAACUGAUCAAGUCAAAGGCACCACCUAGUGGCGAUGUAGGAGAACUCAGAAACAGUAGUGUCGUAAAACAAAUUUUCACUUCCAUCUUUAUUCAUGAAUGGAUGCAAACACACCUUUGCCGCAUUCACCACAAGUUUCACUGAACGAGACCAGCAAAGUUGGAAAAGAGAAUAUGUGUUUGGUGCAGGUAAUCUAAUUUCUAAAAUCAAAAAGAGGAGGGAAAAGAAUCAAGCUUUCAAAUUUGCGUAGAAAGAACAAGAGAAAAAAAAGGUUUGCUUUCAAAUGUCAAACUACAAACUGCAUCACAAAGCCACAGUACUGUCUAAUAAUAGUACAGAGAACAAGACAGUAAAAUUAUUAAAAACUACUUUGUUUGCAAUGACUUUUAACUACUAACUCGCUCUAGCAUGCGAGCUCACAUCACUCCUAUUUUAUGUUCUUUACAUUGGCUCCCAAUAGAUUUUAGAAUUCGUUUUAAAAUUAUUGUUUUAACGUACAGAGCACUAAAUGGCCAGGCCCCAAAUUAUUUAUCCAAGCUUCUCACAAAAUACACUGCUGCUCGCCGUCUCCGCUCACAGACUCAGAGUUUGUUGGUUGCUCCCCGAACACGACUGAAGACGAAAGGGGGCGGAGCCUUUCAGUCUGUGGCACCAGGGCUGUGGAACAGUCUACCUCUACAACUACGUUUGGUUGACUCUGUGGAAUCCUUUAAAAAAACUUUACUGUUUAAAGAAACUUUCUGUUGACCAAUGCUUUUUACAUUUUUACAUUUUUAAUUUACAUUUAACCUCUAUAUUGUGUAUAUUGUGCAUUUUGCUAUUUAUCGUACUGUUUAUUUUAAUCUUUGUGUACAGCGCUUUGUGACUACCUGUCUAUGAAAAGCACUUAAUAAAUAAACUUUA
ensembl:lncRNA